rnacentral:rRNA from 1 species
GAUGAACGCUGGCGGCGUGCUUAACACAUGCAAGUCGAACGAAGCACCUUGAUUCGAUUCUUCUGAUGAAGAUCUUGGUGCCUGAGUGGCGGACGGGUGAGUAACGCUUGGGUAACCUGCCUCAUACAGGGGGAUAACAGUUAGAAAUGACUGCUACUACCGCAUAAGACAACCGCACCGCAUGGUGCCGGGGUAAGAACUCCGGUGGUAUGAGAUGGACCCGCGUCUGAUUAGGUAGUUGGUGGGGUAACGGCCUACCAAGCCGACGAUCAGUAGCCGAGCUGAGAGGGUGACCGGCCACAUUGGGACUGAGACACGGCCCGAACUCCUACGGGAGGCAGCAGAGGGGAAUAUAGCAAAAUGGGGGAAGCCCUGAUGCAGCGACGCCGCGUGAGCGAUGAAGUAUUUCGGUAUGUAAAGCUCGAUCAGCAGGGAAGAAAAUGACGGUACCUGACGAAGAAGCACCGGCUAAAUACGUG